CAUUUUAUUAAUCUAUUUUAAUAAUCAGAGUAAUGUAUGCAGAAUAUUACCAGAACUUUGUUUAUAAUAACAAUAUUAUUAUAAUCAGUUGAUAUCAAAAUCAAAAAUCGGUGUUUGGACAAUAUCGGCAAAAAGUUAAUAUUUGACUUUUCCAUCAUAGUUAUGAAUGCUGAUUUAUCUCAAUUAAUCAAGAUCAGCUACCCUGUGAUUAACCACUGACCUAAGAUUGUAAUUUUAUGACCACCCUACUGAUAACAAUGUAUCUGUCUGCAGGUUCAUGUUGACUCUCGUCCAACCCUCCUCUGAAAGACGUCCACAGUUAUUGAUGUUCGCUUGGUGUGAAGUGUUCGUGUUCUUGGUCUGCUGAGUGGAGCUCCCACUGUUCCAGAGUCAGGUGAACUGGAUACUCUCGGAGCUGCAGUGAAGAUGGACUGGUCUUCCGCUGAGGGUGUUGUCCUGCUCUUUGCCCUUUGCAUGCUGGGAAUGGCUCCAAACCCCUGUUAAUAAUGAGCUAAGCUGGAAUUCUCCCUCCACGUUCUGACAAAUGUUUUCUUUUCAUUUUCAUCAUCCUCUUCUUUUACGUUACCUCGCUGCUGUCUUUGUGCAGUCCUUAACGAUCAUGUUGUUGUUGUUUGUUUUCUUUUUUGGUGCCAGGAAUGAGAGAACGUGUGAAAAGGUAACAGUAAACCAAGAAUGCACAUCAAAGAUGUCUUCCGCAGCCGAACGAGCCACAGUUCUUGGCUCCACUGCUCAUGUCUGGCUCACAUCCCGUUCCCAUAAUUUGUGACAGGAUAUGGACAUAGUGCUGGCAGUUCAUCACAGAGCCACGAGAAGCAACAAGCUGCAACAGUCUGAGCCACAGUCCUGCUGCUCAUCACUGGGAUUCAGCCAAUCACCUGUGCCUCCACCGAUACUGACUCCGCCCCAUCGGUCUUCUCCAGUUGAACCUCCACGCCCAGCUCAAAGUAACCUGUAAUACGUGGUGGAACAAAAGGUAUGAUCCCAUUGUAGCAACGUGGACAGGCAACAUGUGUAGACAACGUGGAUGGGCUCACGGACGUGUGAGCUCCAUCUCCAUAAACCCGUCGGAGAACCACCGUUCUCCCACAGACUGGCCUGGAUGAACCUACUCCUACAGUAGGAGACUGUGUUUGAUUGACUGGCUGUAGUAACUGCAGAUACUUUUCUCUCUCUGUCUCUCCCUCCCUUCUCUCAUGUUUUUUUUCCCAUUGUCUUAUUGAUUUAAUUUCAGCAACUCCUUCAGAAAAGUCUAGACAUUUCUUUUCCGUUCCCUCUCACCAGUAGAAACAUCGGCAGAAUUAGGUUCAUUGUUUACACUAAAGUGACCAUUGGUGUGAGUGUGAAUGUGACAUGACCGUGUGAUGGACUGGAGGACUGUCCAGGGUGUGACGUCCUCACCUGAUGACUACACCUUCCUCCGACUCUCCACCUCCGUCAGGUUUGAACAUAAUUAAAGGAAUGAAAACAGUUUGAAAGUUCCUGACCCGAAGUCUCGUCUCCAUUCUCCUGAGGUCACCGUGGCUCCAGCCACUGCAGCACCAUCUGCCCCCGACCAGACCCUUCUCCUACAGAAUACAUCAAACGCACGCAGCCUGGAUGGACAUGUCCAGGAUCCAGUAACAGGACAGAACAGUCUGGGCGGAGCCUCGUCCCCCCCUUUCCAAUAUUAACUCCUUGUCCAUCCAUCAACAGUCAGCACCAACUGGGUGGGCCGCUCGCAUCCAUCACCUAUUUGAGGAAUGGGUUAGUCUUUGGAAGGCAAAAAAGAACCAGUAUGUUUUUUGGGUAUGGAUGCCAACACUCCAGAGAUUUUCACCAGGUUUGGCUGUGGCUCAGUGGACCAGCAAGACGGAGACGAGAGAGACGGGGACGAGGACAGAAGAUGUCGGGACAUGAGCUCAGCAAAUCCUGAAGAUUUCACUGGAUUCUUCUUUUUUAGGUGAGUUAAAAAAAUAACCUUUUUCUUAUCAGCUCAACAGUUUUGACCUGAUUUGGCUUUAAUAUAAUCAUUUAAUAUUUUUUUUGUCAAUACGAGAAUUAGCUUGGCUUCAUUCAUAAAAUAAAAUAAAAUCAAAUAAAAAAUAAAAUUAUAUUAAACCACAACUACUCCCACACACUUGGCAUUUUGUCUGAAUUUUAUUAAAAUGAAUGGAAAAAAUUGUAAUUGUAAAUUGUAAUUUUUCCAAUAUUCUUUAAAACCUAAAACUCAAAAAAAAAAGAAAUGUUUAGGGUUUUUUUUUUCCCCUAAAGUUAACGGUGGAUGAAUACAUUAAAGGGCAGUUACAGAUGUAUUUUUAUACAAUCAGACAUAGACGCUCACCAGGCUGUCGUCGAGGCCACUGACCUGCGUGUUCCAGCCAACGACGUGCUGUUCAGGCAAACGGAGCAGCAGCAGUGAUUGGACAAAACCAACAGAGACCGACAGAGUCAGCUGACCUUAAACACAUCAACCACCUUCUUGCAACACCUUAUUUUGGAGCUGUUGGUGGGACCUUGUAUCGGGGGAUGGGGGAGUUUAGGGGGGAGCUUAUCUCUCCUGUUGUUAUUUGUCCUGAGCCUCUCCAUGUGUCUGUGGUGAGGACUUCCUGAUUAGAACUGACAGAACUGACUCUUAUCUGUGAAACCAAGUCCUUUAGAUCCUUGUACAAACACAGCAGCUGAUGAGACGACGCUUCCUCAGAGAUAGUGAGAGCAGCAGCAGCGCUGAUGUUCUCAGUGCAUCACUUUCAGGUAUAGCCACAUCCCGGUAAUAGAAAAUUCAAAUUAAAACGUCAACUUUUUUUUUUUUUUUUUUUUAA